AUUGAACGCUGGCGGCAGGCCUAACACAUGCAAGUCGAGCGGAUGAAGGGAGCUUGCUCCUGGAUUCAGCGGCGGACGGGUGAGUAAUGCCUAGGAAUCUGCCUGGUAGUGGGGGAUAACGUCCGGAAACGGGCGCUAAUACCGCAUACGUCCUGAGGGAGAAAGUGGGGGAUCUUCGGACCUCACGCUGUCAGAUGAGCCUAGGUCGGAUUAGCUAGUUGGUGGGGUAAAGGCCUACCAAGGCGACGAUCCGUAACUGGUCUGAGAGGAUGAUCAGUCACACUGGAACUGAGACACGGUCCAGACUCCUACGGGAGGCAGCAGUGGGGAAUAUUGGACAAUGGGCGAAAGCAUGAUCCAGCCAUGCCGCGUGUGUGAAGAAGGUCUUCGGAUUGUAAAGCACUUUAAGUUGGGAGGAAGGGCAGUAAGUUAAUACCUUGCUGUUUUGACGUUACCAACAGAAUAAGCACCGGCUAACUUCGUG
rnacentral:rRNA from 1 species